rnacentral:sRNA from 1 species
GAGUACAGAGUGUUGCAAAAACUGAAAGACCAAUGUGGCUUGGAUCAGAGAAUGAGGAAAGAUGAUCCUGCAGGAUUUGAGCGACAAAAAGGACUUUAGAUGCUGUCCUAUAGCAGGAAGAAGCAGUUGUACAGUAAGACGAGUUCGACACUAAUUACAGCACAGAGGGGAAUGGGCCGAGUGCAGAUGCUGCCCCAAGCGGUGUGCCUGCUGCAUGCGCUGCUGGAGAAGGGACACAUUGUGUACGUGCACUGCAACGCUGGGGUGGGCCGCUCCACCGCGGCUGUCUGCGGCUGGCUCCAGUAUGUGAUGGGCUGGAAUCUGAGGAAGGUGCAGUAUUUCCUCAUGGCCAAGAGGCCGGCUGUCUACAUUGAUGAAGAGGCCUUGGCCCGGGCACAAGAAGAUUUUUUCCAGAAAUUUGGGAAGGUUCGUUCUUCUGUGUGUAGCCUGUAGCUGGUCAGCCUGCUUCUGCCCCCUCCUGAUUUCCCUAAGGAGCCUGGGAUGAUGUUAGUCAAAUGACCUAGAAACAAGGAUUCUACCUGAACUGAAAGGACUGUGUGACCUCCCCCAAGCCAACCACUUUCACCUGGGAUGAUUUUCGAUUAUGCUUUGUUUUGGGGCUGUAUUUUUGAAAUACUCUACAAGAAAGCUGUGAUUCACACAUGAGAAGAAGCACGAAGCAGUUAGGCUGUACCUCAGACAGAAGGGUAAUUAAUGCGUGCAGUUCCUGCUGCCUGCAGGCGGACGAGGCCUUUGCUUUACAGCACUAUAUGUGUUGCACGAUGGAUCCAUGACAGCACUUUCCUGUUGCGCUGAAACUCUUGGCCAUGCAGAGGAAAAGAUAUGGAGCUAUGUGGAUUUCAUCACUAGUAUGUGUGCAUGAGCUGGUCAGUUGCCAAAGGAGGAAAUAAGGUUAGAAGCCUGAACCGUUAAAAAAGAAGAGCUCACUGUGGUCAAAAAAUGAUGGCUUUUAGGACUUAUUUUUUAUCCUGCCUCACAGUUGUUAAAGUCUGUUCCAAGGCAUCACCUUCCUUCUCUACCCAACAACCCUGUGUAACAGCUAAAGUAGAAUUAUCUCUCAUUUGUUGUUGUUUUUCCUCAAAACUGCCAAACAAAGCAAAAAAUACCCUUGUUUUUUAUAGUUGAGACAUCAAGAAGUUAAAUUGAGGCUUAAUGAGCAUAGGUAGCUUGCCCAAGAUCUCAUGACCAGUCAAGGGCAAGCUGGAGUUAAUAAUCUAUAUUUAUUUGACUCAGCGCUGUUUUCAUCACAACUUGUUUUCCCAGCAUCAUGUAGCACAUUCAGUUUUGUCUUUCUCAGGGUAUGGUCACUAUGCCUGCAGGAGUUUCUAUAGCGAGACACAGAAUAGUAUUCUGAUCAGUUGCCAAAGAAUCUAGGAAAGUAGUUGUAUUUUGUGCAAGCUGAUUUAAAAACAUGAUGGGCUGUUUUAAGACCAGAGUGGAAAUUCAUGAGAGGAACUAUACUAUCAAAAGAGCCCAAACGACCAAAUCCAUGGAUAAUUGCUUCACAGCCUUGGCCAUCCUGGCUCAGCCCUCAAUUUAGUAUAAUAUGCAGUUCCUGUGCCUCCAGACUAUGCAGCUCAUCUCCCUAGGUUCUACAGGAAAUACAGAGAUGAACAACUUUGCCUUCAAAAGUGUGCUGCCUAGAAACAGACCUGCAUUCAACCAACUGUAAUGCAGGAUUGGACCAUGAAUGAUAUGCUAGAAUAGAAGAAAGAGAAGUGUGUUUUUUUUUUUAAUUGAGAGCCUCUAUGUGCAAGGUGAUAUAUAAUCAUAUCCAGUUUAUAAUCCAGUAUAUAAUCAUAUCCAGUUUAAUCUUCACAAUAUCCAAUGAAGAAGGUCUCAUUAUCUCCAUGAUAAAGAUGGGGAAACUAAGGUCAGAGGGGUUAAAUC